UCCUGCAUAUAUAUUAUAUUGUCUUGUUCUGUUCGUACGUAGAAUUCGACCAGUGAGUAAUCAUGGCUAGAAUCAAACCUUUUCUACGCUUUGUCUUGUUCACAGUGAUGAUCAUCUUCUUCUUCACAUGCAUCUCCCAGCUCCAUGCCAGGCCUAUCCCAAACCAACAUCCACAACCUAGCUCUUCAAACAUGAUGGCGACGCUUGGUUUGGUCUGCAAAUGCUGUGAUGGGAAAGGAGGGAAAUGCAGCAGCUCGUGGAAAGGGUCUUGCUCAAACCUCCAUUGCUCUCCAUGGAGGAAUUAUUAGUUCAAUAUAUACAUACACUCUCAAUCACUGUAAUAAAAUUACUUUCCACAAAAUCUCUUCACUAAUAAGUUAUAUAUAAAAGUAGGGUUUUUCUAUGGGAAUAUCACAUCAACUUGAUAGUACCAUAGAAAAUCUUUACGAAAAAGUUCAUUGUUGUU